AGCUGAUCGGAGACUGGAGCCGGUGUCUGCUGGGCGCUGGGAAGAGACAGAGCGGUCGGCCGUGCGGAGAGGUCGCAGUGAUUUUGCUCCUCUGUCCUCAGCAACCCCCGCACCCAACAUCAGGAACCUGUGCCUCCCACACCCUCACCUGGCUGAGCCGCAGUAGUUCUUCAGUGGCAAGCUUUAUGUCCUGACCCAGCUAAAGCUGCCAGUUGAAGAACUGUUGCCCUCUGCCCCUGGCUUCGAGGAGGAAGAGGAGGAGCAGCUUCAUUGCCUAUCAUCUGGAAGGAUAGUGAGACUCUGCUCAAUACUGUGCAGGCAAGAAAUUGUCUCCUGCAAACUGAUGGGGAGAUGGGUUGUAUGAUAUAAGUCCCCUCUGCUGCCUCUUGCUCCUGAUUCAUUCCCACGUAUGGGCUUGGUUUCUGAUUGUGGUUCACCGUUGACCCAGUCUUCCUAACAGAAGAUGGGUUCAGGGAGUACAGGAAGCUGUUUGUUCUGUUUGGCAGGAGGAGGAGUUCUAGCCUAUUCCCCAUUUACGAGAAACUGAAAGUCAUAGGGGAGACUAGAUCAUCUAAUCAAGCCCCACUGCAGUCUAAGAUGAGGGAUAGGAUGUGUAAGGGACUGUAGCAGACGGGUGGGGAGGCUGAGUCUGCUCACACACUGCAACAAAGAUUGCGCUGUCCCUCGACCUCGCUUUCCUCCCUCCUCACUUCACUGGCCACAGUGUGUCCCUCCAGCACUGAGUACAUGGCUCUGCUGUCUUCAUCCAACGUGGAGCCUCAGAGGUGAGGAAGGGCAGCCUGGAAGCAACAGAGGCAGACAGAAGACAGUGGAGGACCUGGCCUGGAGCCACAAGGGCCUAUCCGGACGUUGGUCAGAGGGCCACAUAGAAGCCUGGAGAACCCCAGGAGAGAACAGGCAGCAGCCUCAGUGAAAGACACACCUGCAGCCAUCUCCUCUCGGGACCUGCCUCCCUGGGAGAUGAAGGGCCUCCAGGAAGUAUGGCCCGUCUCCUCUGCACCCCACAGUUUCAGUAUAAGCAGCCUCAAGGUGCAUGAGCCACCUCUGAAAGGAAAUACACAGCAAACUCAAGAGGAGAUUCAAAUGUGUAACGCUAUGGAAAAACAUGUAUGCCUGGGCUGCGGCUCAGUUGGUAGAAGGUUUGCUUAACAUGCACCAAGGCCUGGUUCUGUCUUCUGCAUGCUAUAAAACUGGACACAUGGUCCUGCAGUCCUGGCACGCAGAGGUGGUGGCCAAGGAACCUACGUUCCAGGUCAUCCUCUGCUAUUCACUGAGUUCUAAGCACUGGUUAGUAAUUCUAAGAAGGCAGUGUGGCUGAAAUCAUUUUCCCUGAUCAUAACACAGCAAGUAAAUGAAAGCCAAAAGAAGGCUCCUGUGCUUUGUAAGUGUCGGUGUCGGCCACUGGAAGAGAUGCCUUUUGACCCAGUAGUUUUCUGUAUCUUAAAUAAAGAUUUGGUUAUAAAAUGUUCAUCUCAGGGUUGUAAUGGAGAAAAAUCCAAAGCAACUGUUUGCUUGGGAAGCCAUUCCGUCUCUGCUGUCCUGAAAAUGUAUAGCUGGAGAUUGCUUAAGUAGAUUGUUUAUCUGAUGGUGUACUACGAGGCCAUCCAAAGUCUUGUAGAAAAAAAUUGAAUGGAAAUAUAAAUAUUGAAUACUAAAAAGAUUAUUAAAAGUAUGAGUUUAUGGCUGGCUUUUUAAAACAUGAGUGCAUACUUGUAAUAUUUAAAAAAAAACACAAAGUAGAUUCAAAAUGUUCAAAGUGGUUGUUUUUAUAUCGUGGGAUAGUACAAUGGUGAAUCUUCCCCUUGUUUUUUCUGUCUUUCUAAGUUUUUAAUAUUGUGUAUUGUUUUCAUAUAUUAAAUAAAAUGC